UGUACUUGUACUACCCAAAAAGAAAAAAGAAUUAAUACUCCUUCAAACAAUUGCUGGUGAUCCUUCCACAUAUAUAUAUAUAUGUGUACAUCUUCCUCAUUCAGAUCCCUAUCUUUAGGUUGCUACCUUCAAUAGAACCUGCAACACAUAUAUAAAUUAGUCCCAACACCAACUUUCAUUGCUGCAACUUUUAACAGAACAUUAUUAAAAGCCAUAUAAGGUAAGGAAGAGUUGUUUGUUGUCUGGUAAUAAGAGGAAAAGUGUAGUAAAAAAUGAAAUUUCCUCUUAAAAGUCAUGAAGAGAAAGUAGGGUCGUUUUCAUUCGUAACUAAAACCCAUUUUCUGCCUUAAUAAGCUUGACUCUUCUAUCUAUCUACCUGUGAAUGGCUGAGGUGGAAAGGAAAUCUGAUGGUCAAAUGUUAUAUUAUUGUAAACAUUCUGCAACUCAACGUCCCAUGUGGAAAGAAUUUGCAAAAGUUAGUCCCUAUUCACAUUCUUAAUGUAACUCUCUGCUUUAUUUCCAAAGCAGCCCGUUAAUGAUUAAUCGAAGAUCACCACUACACAUAUAUAUAUAUACAUAUAUACUCUCCUUCACUUUGCAUAAUAACUAUAUCAAUUAAUUACUUUACAAGAUUACUAUUAUGUUGGUGGCCUACCAAUGAUAAACGUCUCCCACACUGAUUUGUUUGGAUUAACUUACCAUGCUUUGGAAACGAGUUAAACUUGUUUUUCAACGUCCCAUCUGGAGUAUACACAUACAAAAAAUAUAUACGUCAUGUACUUGUACUACCCAAAAAGAAAAAAGAAUUAAUACUCCUUCAAACAAUUGCUGGUGAUCCUUCCACAUAUAUAUAUAUAUGUGUACAUCUUCCUCAUUCAGAUCCCUAUCUUUAGGUUGCUACCUUCAAUAGAACCUGCAACACAUAUAUAAAUUAGUCCCAACACCAACUUUCAUUGCUGCAACUUUUAACAGAACAUUAUUAAAAGCCAUAUAAGGUAAGGAAGAGUUGUUUGUUGUCUGGUAAUAAGAGGAAAAGUGUAGUAAAAAAUGAAAUUUCCUCUUAAAAGUCAUGAAGAGAAAGUAGGGUCGUUUUCAUUCGUAACUAAAACCCAUUUUCUGCCUUAAUAAGCUUGACUCUUCUAUCUAUCUACCUGUGAAUGGCUGAGGUGGAAAGGAAAUCUGAUGGUCAAAUGUUAUAUUAUUGUAAACAUUCUGCAACUCAACGUCCCAUGUGGAAAGAAUUUGCAAAAGUUAGUCCCUAUUCACAUUCUUAAUGUAACUCUCUGCUUUAUUUCCAAAGCAGCCCGUU
rnacentral:lncRNA from 1 species